rnacentral:tRNA from 1 species
CUUAUCUUAGUUUAAUAAGAAUAAAGGUUUUGGGGAUCUUAGGUCUCAUAUUUGAGAGAUUUGG